GAGAAAAGAAGGAAAGAAAAAGAAAAAAGAGAGGAAGAAAGAAAGAGAAAAGGCAAAUGAACGCCCGCAAAGCCAAUCUCAGGGCACUCAGUGCGGUUUCCCAGGCAGGCAGCGCGGCCCCAUCCCGUCCCAUCGGAGGUUGCCGUUCUCAGCAUCCCUCCUCACCGCCAACGGGGGCAGAAAAACCCCGAACCCCGCGUUCCGUUUUUCUGUGUCCUUUCGGGGGGGGUUGAAAUUUCGGUUUGAUGUUUUAUUGCCUCGUUCGCCUUUUCCUAAAAAGAGAGGAGCGGGCGCUGUGUGAGCACCCCCUCAUCUCCCCUUACCCCCGGGCAGGGCCACAAACGAGAACUGCCAUUUCACACCGAUUUCACACCGAUUUCACACCCAUUUCACACCGAUUUCACACCCAUUUCCCCGGCGUUGCCGCUCCGCUGCUGCCCCGCGGCUCCGCGCAAAUUGCGCCUCCGCUCCGCGCAUCCUCCGCCCGCGGUCGGCCCCGCAUUCACUCGACCGGCUCCGUAGGUGGCCGUGUAUAUUUUUGUUGAAGUAGUGUUUAUGUUAAUGAAAAAGGCUGAGAUUACAAACAGACCACUGAACGCCCGGGAUGUUGCUGCCGGAUUGGUCUACGUUGUGUAUUUUAAACCUAAUCAGAAGCAAAUAUGAUUUUUUUUCCCCCCUGUGUGUGUGUGUGUGUGUGUGUGUACGUGCAUUAUUCUAGCAGAAAGAAAGUAUGGGAUGUUUGGGGAGCCCCGUGCCACCCCUGUCCCUUUACCCCGUGAUUUCAGAGCGGUGUUUUUCCCUGCACGGUUGGGGAGGGAGUGGGGGUGAAGGGAGAGGUGUCAGAGCAGCUAUCCGAGAAUUACCCCCAAAACAACGAAAACGAUCCCACUGCUCCUAGAAAGGGAAAGGAAGGGCUCAGCUCAUCCCCUCCGAACUCCCACCGACCCCAUAGAGGGGUUUCCACGCUGGUGGCAAACGGGUGUGCAUCCCUAAAGCCUCGGCUAUGGGGUGGGGUGUGUUUGGGUUUUUUCUUUGCCGGGUGUCGCUGAAAUCUGCAUCAAAAAUCCCCUCUAAUUCGGCAGUGAAAAACGCCGUUUAUAAUUUGCCACAUUAAAAAUAGACAAAUAGGUAGAUAGGUAGAUAGGUAGAUCAUAUAUUUAGAAUUUCAGCCCUUGUAAACGCAAAGUGAGCAGGAAUCAGUCCAUUCAUCGCUUAAAAGAGAUCCUGAGGGCUGUUUGAUUUUUCUUUCAGGGGUGAGCUGUGAUUUUCUUUGAUUUCAGUGCCUUUCAGGGUCUCUUUGAUUCUGGUUUCCUUAACAAAAAAUCACCCCUGAGACCCGUUCCUAUCUCUGCUGGUGAAGGUUCAAAGAAAAUAAUCCAAUUUUUGGAGACGUUCCUCUGCUGAUCGAUCACCCCCAGCACAGAGGGAUGCAUUUGGGGUCCCAGCAAAAGGGUUUCUCCCCCCCUCGACAGCUUUGCAAGCAAACGUGCGGCGGCUUUGGCAUCGCCUUCCUUCCCAAUAUUUGCCUUUUGUGGGCAAAAGCUGUCGGUGGAGCACAGCUCUCCGGCACGGCCAGUCGGAGGAUUUGUGUGCUCCGAUGUUUUACUACUGUUACGAUUCCUCAUUGACUGAAAGUACAAAGAAAAUUGCCGUGUAAACAAGUCGCCGUCUGAAGGGGAUGUGGGAGAAAUUCGGGGCAAGCAAAACCUUAGCAGGGAUUUAAAGGAAGAAGGGAAACAAGGGGGAAAACAUGACAGUCCUGUGCAAGGUUUUCUCUAUGCAAUGGCAGAAUCACUUCGGAGCUGUGCAGGGUUUUUUUUUCCCCAUGUUACCUGGGGCAGAAGAGAGCCCUAAAAUGGCUUUUUCUCCCUUAGAAUAUCUGGAUGGCAUCAAUCUGUCCCCCCACAGAAAGAGGUAGGUUCCAGCAUGAGCCUUAGGGGGUUUCGUGGUUCUCCCACCUGGAACUAGCAAUUUUUUUUUUUCCCCAUCAAACUGUAUAUUUUGCAUUCUUUCUUUUGGGGGGGCUAACCCCUUUUUUUUUUUUUUAUUUUCCUAGCAACAUUAAGCAAUGCUGCAGAGGGAUUGUCAACACCACAGCAUUUGGCUUUGGGGAAAACAUCACCGCUGUCAGAGCCAGGCAGGCCCUACAGAGGUUUCUGGCCAGCAGCUCCAAGGACUGUCACAACCAUGCUGUAUGUUUGGGAUCGUCAUGCAAUGGAGCUUUAAGUGUGAAUGGAGGACAUCCUGGCCCCACUAAAGGUGGGAUAAGAACAACUCUCACCUCGAGGGUGAGUGCUUAAAAGUGGAAGCAAAGCUAGCUGGUGGAGCAAGUGAUGGGGGCAGGCCUCCCUGAGAUGCAAAUCAGCCCACGUGCACUCAAAAUGACCCAAACCACAACCUUAUGGAGGCUCUUUUGGCUGCACUGAUGACAGAGACAGUUCCCACCAUCUGUAGAUUUCCUCAUCUUGGCAGCUCAGAGAGGAGCAGCAAGUCCUAGCUAAAUGCCUUGUGGUCCAGAUGCUAUGAACCAUCCACCCUGGUUCCAGUAAGAGCAGUGCCCCUACAACAACAUGGUAAGCAGCUGCAAGGAGGUUUGAGGGUUUGAGCCAUCCCAGGGUGGAGGUCAACUCCUCCAUCCCCACGUUUGUCAUAACCCCAAACCCAGCCACAGCACACGCAAUGAUAAAAAGGGAGCUGGCAGCACAAAACUCAUCCUGAUUUCCAGGCUGAUGUCUGCACAACUCUACUGGCUUCUCCAACAGAACCAAGAGACACAGACCUGUUUUGUCCCAAGAUUUCCCACUAGCCUAAUUACUGCUAAUUGUACCACUUGUCUAUCUCGCCAGCCGCACCCUGAGCAACGCUGAUAGGAUAUCAGUGAGAUAAGGAGCACUUGGAUAGCACAGGUAACAGAACUUUGGGAGGGGUUAUCACCACUACCACCCUCCUUUGGGGGGACACUCAGGUCCUAAGGAUGUGUGCAGGGGCUGGCAUCCAACUGUAAGCCUUUUGGGAAAAGCUACCGUGGGUUUUGGUGACUGUAUCUGCAAGCUGCAGAGAAGCAAGCUGGCAUUCAUUUCAUAGUAAUUCCUUUAAAUUUGCUUAGCAUGCGGAUUAUUUGUAUGAGCUGUUUUUGUUGUUGUUAACACAACACUGUGAAAUGGAGGUUUCAUCAUUUCAUUUUUUCCCCCCCUCCCACAGAGAAAUAAAUGCUGUUCUUUUAACAAA